rnacentral:tRNA from 1 species
GCCUCGGUGGAGUCGCUGGUACGCAAGUUGGACUAACAAUCCAAAGGUCGUCAGUUCGAAUCCCGGGGUG